GGGUUGUGAGGUUAAGCGACUAAGCGUACACGGUGGAUGCCCUGGCAGUCAGAGGCGAUGAAGGACGUGCUAAUCUGCGAUAAGCGUCGGUAAGGUGAUAUGAACCGUUAUAACCGGCGAUUUCCGAAUGGGGAAACCCAGUGUGAUUCGUCACACUAUCAUUAACUGAAUCCAUAGGUUAAUGAGGCGAACCGGGGGAACUGAAACAUCUAAGUACCCCGAGGAAAAGAAAUCAACCGAGAUUCCCCCAGUAGCGGCGAGCGAACGGGGAGCAGCCCAGAGCCUGAAUCAGUGUGUGUGUUAGUGGAAGCGUCUGGAAAGGCGUGCGAUACAGGGUGACAGCCCCGUACACAAAAAUGCACAUGCUGUGAGCUCGAUGAGUAGGGCGGGACACGUGGUAUCCUGUCUGAAUAUGGGGGGACCAUCCUCCAAGGCUAAAUACUCCUGACUGACCGAUAGUGAACCAGUACCGUGAGGGAAAGGCGAAAAGAACCCCGGCGAGGGGAGUGAAAAAGAACCUGAAACCGUGUACGUACAAGCAGUGGGAGCACAGAGCAAUCUGUGUGACUGCGUACCUUUUGUAUAAUGGGUCAGCGACUUAUAUUCUGUAGCAAGGUUAACCGAAUAGGGGAGCCGAAGGGAAACCGAGUCUUAACUGGGCGUUAAGUUGCAGGGUAUAGACCCGAAACCCGGUGAUCUAGCCAUGGGCAGGUUGAAGGUUGGGUAACACUAACUGGAGGACCGAACCGACUAAUGUUGAAAAAUUAGCGGAUGACUUGUGGCUGGGGGUGAAAGGCCAAUCAAACCGGGAGAUAGCUGGUUCUCCCCGAAAGCUAUUUAGGUAGCGCCUCGUGAAUUCAUCUCCGGGGGUAGAGCACUGUUUCGGCAAGGGGGUCAUCCCGACUUACCAACCCGAUGCAAACUGCGAAUACCGGAGAAUGUUAUCACGGGAGACACACGGCGGGUGCUAACGUCCGUCGUGAAGAGGGAAACAACCCAGACCGCCAGCUAAGGUCCCAAAGUCAUGGUUAAGUGGGAAACGAUGUGGGAAGGCCCAGACAGCCAGGAUGUUGGCUUAGAAGCAGCCAUCAUUUAAAGAAAGCGUAAUAGCUCACUGGUCGAGUCGGCCUGCGCGGAAGAUGUAACGGGGCUAAACCAUGCACCGAAGCUGCGGCAGCGACGCUUAUGCGUUGUUGGGUAGGGGAGCGUUCUGUAAGCCUGCGAAGGUGUGCUGUGAGGCAUGCUGGAGGUAUCAGAAGUGCGAAUGCUGACAUAAGUAACGAUAAAGCGGGUGAAAAGCCCGCUCGCCGGAAGACCAAGGGUUCCUGUCCAACGUUAAUCGGGGCAGGGUGAGUCGACCCCUAAGGCGAGGCCGAAAGGCGUAGUCGAUGGGAAACAGGUUAAUAUUCCUGUACUUGGUGUUACUGCGAAGGGGGGACGGAGAAGGCUAUGUUGGCCGGGCGACGGUUGUCCCGGUUUAAGCGUGUAGGCUGGUUUUCCAGGCAAAUCCGGAAAACUAAGGCUGAGGCGUGAUGACGAGGCACUACGGUGCUGAAGCAACAAAUGCCCUGCUUCCAGGAAAAGCCUCUAAGCAUCAGGUAACAUCAAAUCGUACCCCAAACCGACACAGGUGGUCAGGUAGAGAAUACCAAGGCGCUUGAGAGAACUCGGGUGAAGGAACUAGGCAAAAUGGUGCCGUAACUUCGGGAGAAGGCACGCUGAUAUGUAGGUGAAGUCCCUCGCGGAUGGAGCUGAAAUCAGUCGAAGAUACCAGCUGGCUGCAACUGUUUAUUAAAAACACAGCACUGUGCAAACACGAAAGUGGACGUAUACGGUGUGACGCCUGCCCGGUGCCGGAAGGUUAAUUGAUGGGGUCAGCGCAAGCGAAGCUCUUGAUCGAAGCCCCGGUAAACGGCGGCCGUAACUAUAACGGUCCUAAGGUAGCGAAAUUCCUUGUCGGGUAAGUUCCGACCUGCACGAAUGGCGUAAUGAUGGCCAGGCUGUCUCCACCCGAGACUCAGUGAAAUUGAACUCGCUGUGAAGAUGCAGUGUACCCGCGGCAAGACGGAAAGACCCCGUGAACCUUUACUAUAGCUUGACACUGAACAUUGAGCCUUGAUGUGUAGGAUAGGUGGGAGGCUUUGAAGUGUGGACGCCAGUCUGCAUGGAGCCGACCUUGAAAUACCACCCUUUAAUGUUUGAUGUUCUAACGUUGACCCGUGAUCCGGGUUGCGGACAGUGUCUGGUGGGUAGUUUGACUGGGGCGGUCUCCUCCUAAAGAGUAACGGAGGAGCACGAAGGUUGGCUAAUCCUGGUCGGACAUCAGGAGGUUAGUGCAAUGGCAUAAGCCAGCUUGACUGCGAGCGUGACGGCGCGAGCAGGUGCGAAAGCAGGUCAUAGUGAUCCGGUGGUUCUGAAUGGAAGGGCCAUCGCUCAACGGAUAAAAGGUACUCCGGGGAUAACAGGCUGAUACCGCCCAAGAGUUCAUAUCGACGGCGGUGUUUGGCACCUCGAUGUCGGCUCAUCACAUCCUGGGGCUGAAGUAGGUCCCAAGGGUAUGGCUGUUCGCCAUUUAAAGUGGUACGCGAGCUGGGUUUAGAACGUCGUGAGACAGUUCGGUCCCUAUCUGCCGUGGGCGCUGGAGAACUGAGGGGGGCUGCUCCUAGUACGAGAGGACCGGAGUGGACGCAUCACUGGUGUUCGGGUUGUCAUGCCAAUGGCACUGCCCGGUAGCUAAAUGCGGAAGAGAUAAGUGCUGAAAGCAUCUAAGCACGAAACUUGCCCCGAGAUGAGUUCUCCCUGACUCCUUGAGAGUCCUGAAGGAACGUUGAAGACGACGACGUUGAUAGGCCGGGUGUGUAAGCGCAGCGAUGCGUUGAGCUAACCGGUACUAAUGAACCGUGAGGCUUAACCUUACAACGCCGAAGGUGUUU
rnacentral:rRNA from 1 species